rnacentral:rRNA from 1 species
UACGUAGGGAGCAAGCGUUGUCCGGAAUCCUUGGGCGUAAAGCGCGCGUAGGUGGCCUCAUACGUCCGUUGUGACAGUCAAAGGCUCAACCUUUGAAAGCCGAUGGAUACUGUGAGGCUAGAGUACGGAAGAGGCGAGUGGAAUUCCUGGUGUAGCGGUGGAAUGCGCAGAGAUCAGGAGGAACACCAAUAGCGAAGGCAGCUCGCUGGGACGUUACUGACACUAAGGCGCGAAAGCGUGGGGAGCGAACAGG